rnacentral:rRNA from 1 species
CUGAACGCUGGCGGCGUGGCUAAGACAUGCAAGUCGUACGGUUGUAGCAAUACACAGUGGCGCACGGGUGAGUAAUGUAUCGCUAACGUGCCCCGGAGUCUGGGAUAGCUGCCCGAAAGGGCAGGUAAUACCAGAUGAGACCACGGAAAGGGCAUCCUUCUGUGCUCAAAGCAGCAAUGCGCUCUGGGAGCGGGCGAUAUCGUAUCAGGUAGUCGGCGGGGGGGUAACGGCCCCACCAAGCCUGCGACGCGUAGCUGGUCUGAGAGGACGGCCAGCCACAUCGGGACUGAGACACUGCCCGGACUCCUACGGGGGGCUGCAGUAACGAAUCUUCCGCAAUGCACGAAAGUGUGACGGAGCGACGCCGCGUGGAGGACGAAGUCCUUCGGGAUGUAAACUCCUGUCAGGGGUUACCAAGUUCUGAGGAACCCCAGAGGAAGGCACGGCUAACUCUGUGCCAGCAGCCGCGGUAAGACAGAGGUGCCAAGCGUUAGGCGGAAUCACUGGGCUUAAAGCGCGUGUAGGUGGCGGCCUAAGUACCUUGUGAAAUCCCACGGCUCAACCGUGGAACUGCUUGGUAUACUGGGGUCGCUUGAGCCAUCCAGGGGCAACUGGAACAAGCGGUGGAGCGGUUGAAAUGCGUAGAUAUCGCUUGGAACGCCAAAGGUGAAAACAGGUUGCUGGGGAUGAGCUGACACUGAGACGCGAAAGCCAGGGGAGCGAACGGGAUUAGAUACCCCGGUAGUCCUGGCCCUAAACGAUGUCCACUAGAUCAUGGGACCUUUGACGGGUUUCAUGGUCGAAGCAAAAGUGCUAAGUGGACCGCCUGGGAAGUACGGUCACAAGGCUAAAACUCAAAGGAAUUGACGGGGGCUCACACAAGCGGUGGAGCAUGUGGUUUAAUUCGAAGCAACGCGCAGAACCUUACCUGGGCUUGACAUGCCAGGAUUAUCCUUGUGAAAGCAGGGUACAGCCCGCAAGGGCCGGAACUGGUACAGGUGCUGCAUGGCUGUCGUCAGCUCGUGUCGUGAGAUGUCGGGUUAAGUCCCUUAACGAGCGAAACCUUUGCCCUUAGUUACCAUCGGGUCAUGCCGGGGACUCUAAGGGGACUGCCGGGUGUCAAACCGGAGGAAGGUGGAGAUGACGUCAAGUCCUCAUGGCCUUUAUGCCCAGGGCCACACACGUGCUACAAUGCGGCGCACAGAGCGAACCUAAAACGCGAGUUCAUGGAAAUCGCAGAAAUCGCCGCCCAGUUCAGAUCGGAGGCUGCAACUCGCCUCCGUGAAGUUGGAAUCGCUAGUAAUCGCGGAUCAGCUACGCCGCGGUGAAUGUGUUCCUGAGCCUUGUACACAACCGCCCGUCAAGUCAUGGGAGCCGGGAAUGGCCGAAGUAGCCACACUACUGUGGUUCCUACGCCAGGCUCGGUGACUGGGACU